GAGCUGACAACCUACCCCAAGGAAAUCUCUCGGGAAAUAAGGUGGCGACAAUUAUAAAGCUCAAUUGGUGGGAAAAGUGUUGAGUAUUUUGGCUGAAAUAUGAGCCAACUCGCGUGCAAGAGAGACGAAUAGAGUAGUUCCAGUGGCUUCCGAGUGGGGGCAAAUCCAAUAUGGCAUCCGGUUGAGCGACAGACAAAGCUUCAGCUCCAGAAAAGUGGCAUUUUUGUGGAAAUUUUGCGUGAAAAGGUGGCAAAAGUGCGUGAUAAUGCAUCAGUCAAGUGUUUCUUUGCCAGAAAUCCUUGCAUUUUGGCGGAAAAGUGUGAGAUUUCAGUGGAAAACAUCAGUCAAAUGAAUGUAUUGUGCAAAAGGGGGCGUUACCUAACGAUUUAUGGUUAGGAACGCAGUUCCGGAAAGUUUUUGGCUGUUUUAGGCUAACAACAAGGCAAAAUGAAGCCAUCAUUGGCAAUAAGCGUCAUCUAUCUAUCUCACAUUCCAUCCAACAGCUUCGCAUUGGCGCCCAGUGGAUAGAGAGAGAUGGCGCGACGGUGCAGAGAGACUCAAAGGCUGGGAAGACUUCACUGGCCAGAGUGAGAUGGCAAGAGUGAAAAAAUUGUUGAUUUUGCUGUAAAUCUGGAGGAACGGCAGUAAAGAUGGUAAUGCAAAGAAUUAAUAAUCAAGGAAGUCUCAGUAAAUAUGUUCGAAUUAAGAAGAAUUCUCUAUAUAAGAAUCAGUCAUACAGGAGAUAAUUUUUAGGAAAUAUAUUUUUAGAUGAUAAAAUAUCACUUUUCUGUUUUAUAAAAUUGCAGUAGAAUUAAAAGAUUAGAUAUAAAAACUAUGCAAAGUCUUGCAAUUAAUGUAACUCCUAGUUUAUUGGUAAAUUUAGAGAAACCAAACUCCUAACGUCAUUGGUUUUUAUAAAUAAACGAA